rnacentral:hammerhead_ribozyme from 1 species
GUAUUGUUGAGGAGUCCUACAAUAGGACGAAACGCGCGUACAGUGC